ACUAAUUUGUUCUCUCUCUCUCUCUCUCUCUCUCUCUCUCUCUCUCUCACUUUUUUUCUCUGUGCAAAUUAGUUUUAGAUUUUUUUAAAAGCCAAAUUUUGAUUUUUAGCUGUUUUCCAGACAAAAACAUUACACGUGACUUGAAAAGAGGAUGGGCUUAAAAGAAAUGGGAGAGAGAGAGAGAGAGAGAGAGAGAGAAAGAGAGAGAGGGAGGGAGAGA
rnacentral:miRNA from 1 species